rnacentral:rRNA from 1 species
UACGAAGGGGGCUAGCGUUGCUCGGAAUCACUGGGCGUAAAGCGCACGUAGGCGGAUCUUUAAGUCAGGGGUGAAAUCCUGGAGCUCAACUCCAGAACUGCCUUUGAUACUGGGGAUCUCGAGUCCGGGAGAGGUGAGUGGAACUCCGAGUGUAGAGGUGAAGUUCGUAGAUAUUCGGAAGAACACCAGUGGCGAAGGCGGCUCACUGGCCCGGUACUGACGCUGAGGUGCGAAAGCGUGGGGAGCAAACAGG